rnacentral:rRNA from 1 species
GCGCGAAAACUUUACAAUGCGGGAAACCGUGAUAAGGGAACUCCGAGUGCCCGUAAAAUCGGGCUGUCCACCAGUUUAAAUAACUGGUGAAGAAAGGGCCGGGCAAGACCGGUGCCAGCCGCCGCGGUAAUACCGGCGGCUCGAGUGGUGGCCACUAUUACUGGGCUUAAAGCGUUCGUAGCUGGUUUGUUAAGUCUCUGGGGAAAUCUGCCGGCUCAACCGGCAGGCGUUCCAGGGAUACUGGCAGACUAGGGACCGGGAGAGGUGAGGGGUACUCCAGGGGUAGGAGUGAAAUCCUGUAAUCCUUGGGGGACCACCUGUGGCGAAGGCGCCUCACCAGAACGGCUCCGACAGUGAGGGACGAAAGCUGGGGGAGCAAACCGGAUUAGAUACCCGGGUAGUCCCAGCCGUAAACGAUGCGCGUUAGGUGUAUCGGUGACCACGAGUCACCGAGGUGCCGAAGAGAAAUCGUGAAACGUGCCGCCUGGGAAGUACGGUCGCAAGGCUGAAACUUAAAGGAAUUGGCGGGGGA